rnacentral:rRNA from 1 species
AGCGAACGCUGGCGACAGGCCUAACACAUGCAAGUCGAACGAACCUUUCGGGGUUAGUGGCGGACGGGUGAGUAACACGUGGGAACGUGCCUUUAAGUUCGGAAUAACUCAGGGAAACUUGUGCUAAUACCGAAUGUGCCCUUCGGGGGAAAGAUUUAUCGCCUUUAGAGCGGCCCGCGUCUGAUUAGCUAGUUGGUUGAGGUAAUGGCUCACCAAGGCGACGAUCAGUAGCUGGUCUGAGAGGAUGAUCAGCCACAUUGGGACUGAGACACGGCCCAAACUCCUACGGGAGGCAGCAGUGGGGAAUCUUGCGCAAUGGGCGAAAGCCUGACGCAGCCAUGCCGCGUGAAUGAUGAAGGUCUUAGGAUUGUAAAAUUCUUUCACCGGGGACGAUAAUGACGGUACCCGGAGAAGAAGCCCCGGCUAACUUCGUG